rnacentral:rRNA from 1 species
GGAUGUGAUCAUACCAACACUAACGCACUGAAUCACAUCAGAACUCCAAAGGUAAGAGUUCUUGGUCGAGAGUAGUACUAGGAUGGGUGACCCCAUGAGAAGUCCCCGUGUUGCAUCCC